rnacentral:rRNA from 1 species
AGUCGAGAAUUUUUGACAAUGGGGGAAACCCUGAUCGAGCGACGCCGCGUGGAGGAUGAAGGUCUUCGGAUUGUAAACUCCUGUCAUUGGGGAACAAUGCGCAAAUAUUAACUGUAUUUGUGUUGAUAGUACCCGAAGAGGAAGAGACGGCUAACUCUGUGCCAGCAGCCGCGGUAAUACAGAGGUCUCAAGCGUUGUUCGGAUUCAUUGGGCGUAAAGGGUGCGUAGGCGGCGCGGUAAGUCGGGUGUGAAAUCUCGGAGCUUAACUCCGAAACUGCAUUCGAUACUGCCGUGCUUGAGGACUGGAGAGGAGACUGGAAUUUACGGUGUAGCGGUGAAAUGCGUAGAUAUCGUAAGGAAGACCAGUGGCGAAGGCGGGUCUCUGGACAGUUCCUGACGCUGAGGCACGAAGGUCAGGGGAGCAAA